AUGCAUCCAUCUAUCUGUGUUCCUACAACUACCCACUUCAAGUUCAUUCUUCCCAUUAACUUGGACACAUUGACAACUCAAAAGGGUAGUGCAUUCAUUGAGGCCUUUGCAAGUAGGAUCUGCAUCAAUGGCAUAAAAUGUGGUAAAAACUAAUGUGUAUUGUAAAUUAACUUUUGCAUACAUGAAAUUGAAUUUGUUUGAGUAAGUAACUCUUAGAAUUCCGGUGAGGCCAUGAUAGGUACUCACAUAUUAGAUAGUUAGUUAGAAGGUAGUAAUAAGGCAUGUUGCCUAUAAAUAAGGGUGGUUAGUGAACAUUUGGGGUAUCUUUGUAUUCAGUUAGGAAUUGGGGUUUAGAGAGAGAAUUGGUUCUCUUUCUAGGGUUAGAGAGGGUGUUUGGCAUCUCUCUCAUGUAUCUUUCCCCUAAUCACCAUGGAUGAAUUGGUGAUCACCACCAAUUGGAAUAGCACACAAUAGAAAUUUCCAAAAGAAAACCCCUCCAAACUAAUAUUUUCCAAAUCACCAUGAUACUCAAUGCCUGCUACAGCCUCUUGAUGAAUUGGUGAAAGCAAAAGUCCCCCCCGGAUCAAUUAAUAACCCAAAAAUACUGUCAUGCAUCUUUCCUGUACCAUGUUGUAAAUGGCCUAAACUAGCAAGAAAAGCUUCAACAUUUCAUUUGUUCGUACUACAAUGGUCUUGUUCCAGUCUACCAAAAAAUUUAUAUGCAUACCUGUGUUUCAUCUCACAAUCAAAGCUGAAAUAUAAUUUAGACACAGCAAUCCCAUUUUCUUCAAUGCCCACACUUGUAGUCAACAACAUAGUUGUCUGUAACUCUUUGAAAUGAGUUCUGGUUCCCUGCUUCAAGUACAUGGGCAAAUUGGGUUUUGACCCAAAAGUUGUUAAGUUGGCCCAAAUCUUUCCCUUUGUGAGGUGAAAAGUGCUUUGGGCUGUGCUCCUUUGGUCAAACAGUUGACCCAAAAAUGUCAGUUCAGUUGUGUCCUCUGCCCCCCAUGCUUCACAGACGUGGUUUCUCAUCACCUCCCAACUCAACACAUCCAGCGAUGUGAAGAUUCCGCUAACAAAUAAGACUUACCUUUAUUCAUUCUUUGCAGAAGUUGAAAUUUCUCAGUGAAGUUUGGGUAUCUCAGUUACUUCUAAGAGGCAUCCAUUACCCCAAAUGAGCUCUGUCUUCUCUAACAGGAUAGGUUUGAAGGCUAGUCAGGUAAUAGCCACCAUGAAAUGCCCACAAGCCCCAAUCCAAGUCCUCCCUAACAGGAUAGGUUUGAAGGCUAGUCAAGAACUUGUUGUCUGCCUCUGAAGAACCUUUCUGAUCAAACCCAAAUUCAUAAAACAUUAAAGGAGCUGCAUCUUUACCAGUGGUAAGGAACCCUGUUUGGAAGUCCAACCCUUCAAUGCUUUUAGCAGAGAUCCUGUUUAAUGGUUGCAAAGUCCAUACAUCUUUCAAUUUUAGUUUUCCUACUCCAGACCAAGCUAACUCAUUGCCACCACCUAUUGUACCAAUCACCCUCAUUUCAGCGUUGACCAUGCAACUCAUUCCUCAAACUCAAUACCACCACCUAUUUUGAGCAAAUUCAUUCACACGACCAAUCAAACAGUUAUAAUGCAUGUUUGGAAAUCUUUCCAAAGUUGAGGCAAAAUCAAUUCUUGGGAGAAACAUCGGAGUACCAAAAUUGAUUUUGAGCUGAUACAAACAUGUUAAUCUGUUCCAUGAAAAAUUGAAGAUGCAUGAAACUUGGCUUUAUGUAUUAUGUAAAUGUAAAUUACACACUACAUACUAUAGAAUUUGUGGCAAAGUGCUGGGCUGGUAGGAUAAAAAACCUGUCAUGAAAGAAACCAUUCUCAUCAUCAUAUCUUUACAACACCAUUUUGGCUUGCUGACAUGGUUAUCAAGCAACACCUUAACAUUGUGAUCCCCAAGUUCAUUAGCCACAGCUUCAAAGGCUUGAAUGUGGGCCAUUUUCAACAAAGAAAGGGUUGGAUUUGGCUACCUCUUCCACCCGCUCUAGAAUAUCCAGACUCUUCAAGGUAUUUAUUGAACUUUAUACAUUUGGUUCGAAAGUAUUUCCACAUUUAGCACUCAUGAGAAUAAUCCUCUGAAACCUUUAACUGAGUAAGCCUCUCCAUCAAAAAAAAAAUUCAUACAUACCGGUCAUUAAUUAUACAGUUGUAUGCAAGAGCUUCUUGGUAAAGAAAAAUAUAAUAACCACCAUAUAUAGGGUGGAAGUAGGCUAGACUUUGCUUAAACAGACCGAACCUAGCUACUUAAAAUAUUCAAGGCCUGAACCUGGCCAAUAGCUUGUCAAAAGCUUUUUUUUAGGCCUUAGCCUUAUCUAUUUGGAAGCUUGGUCUGACCUAUUAGCCUAUUUAAGAGCUUGAUUCUUUGUAAUACAUUCAAGUAGACCGAAAAUUUUACUGGUAAACAUGUCUACAAACUUGUAAACUAAUGAGUUAAAAUACAAUAAUAUGAUUAUAUGGUCCAAUAUUAUUUUCUAAAGAGGUUUAUAUAUUUGAAUCAUUAUAUAGUCUCACAUAUUUAAACAUAUAAAUAGUUCACAAGUAUAUUUUUUUUGGUAUAUAAUUUUAAGAUAUUAUCAUAAAAACAUAAUGAAAAUAAUAAAAUAAAUAUAUAUUUAUUUAAAUAGGCUGGCCUCUUGGGUUUGUAAGACUUUUUUUUUGUGGCUCAAGCCUGACCUUUUUAAUUAAAUAAACUUUUAAAAAAGCCUUGACCUUAUCUAUUUAGUAAUUUGAGCUAGCUUGGGUCAUAGAUCCCUGUAGGCGGCUGACCUACUUUCUUCCCUACCCAUAUAUGUUGCUUGGCCAACAAUUAAUCGAAUGAAAGGUUUAGGCCAAAUUUAUUUUCUUGACGUGAAAGAUUGAGCCAAAUUAUUAUCCCCACGUACAUACGUUCUUAACAAUAUUAGUUUACGUACGUAAUUCCGUUCCAUUCUUCCUCUCCUCUCUCAACCCUACCUGCUGCAACAGCCAUCUGAUGAAGAUGACGAGACCUCGCGACUCCAAUGAGAAUGAGUUGGAUAAUUUUUCUCCAGCGGUAAAGAAGUUGAAACCUGAAGAAGAAGACAACACUGAUUCCAUUCCAAUGUCAGAAGAGGAAGCUUUCGAAAUCUGGUGCGAUAUAUAUGGAAAAGUAUACCCUGACAAAGAGACCAAAGAUUUCAAGUUCAAUAUGUUCAAGCAAUCUCUUGAUAGGACCACCAUCCCCUCAACAGAAAAGAAGCAAUCUCGUGGUAGGAUCACCCUCCGCUCAACUCGUCCUCUGAAUUUUCGUCGUCUUACUGAUCGAACCGAAGAUGAAUUUGAUGCAUUCAGAAAAUUAAUUCGCUGGUCGAAUUGUUAUUCGUCUAUAUCCCGCAAAGAACUCAAAGCAUGCAAAGAACUCAAAGCUCCAAUGCCAGAAAAUACCGCUCCAAUCUCUCUUGUACUUGUUGAAGCUGCUGCCAUGGAUUUAACCCCAGAAGAAGCUUUCAAAAUCUAGCGCAAUGUGUAUCGAAAAGAAUACCCUAGCCAAAAGGAGGAAGAAAUCAGGUUCAAUUUGUUCAAGCAAAAUCUUGUUGAUACCCUCCCCUCAAAUGGUCGCAGUUAUGCGUUUUUUGCUGAUCUAACCGAACAAGAAUUUGAAGAAAUUAUUGAGCGGCCGAGUUGUUAUAAUCGUGUAUGCCUCCUAGAUCUUAAACUCUGUGCUGGGAUGGCAAAGUCUAAGUCUGAGGAUAAAUCUCAAAUUUAACUUGUAGUUUCACUUUCACCUUUUUUAAUUAAGGUUGAAUAAGUCCGAUAGGAUAUUUGAAUUCGGUUUUUUAAUUAAAGUCGCUUUUUCGAUCUGGCAAGCAGUGAUUUGGAAUUCAACUUUGGAGCAGCCGCCGACCCCCUCCGCCACUGCAACUGUCCUGCUACCCUGGAUGGCUAGGGUUUGGAGUCCCUGAUGGCUGGAAUUGAACUUUGAUGCUUAAGUGUUAAUGAACUAUCUUUGUAAGUUAGUUUGGGCUUAUGACCCAAUUUUCUUCAUUCAAUAUGUAUGAUGAUCUGUUGUAAGUGCCGUUGUGCAACCUCUUCGGGUAUUGAAUGAAUUAUGAGGUUAUUUAGUUUCAAAUUUAGAUUUCUUGGAGCUUUUUGGAC
rnacentral:lncRNA from 1 species